GCUCCUGUAGCUCAGUAAGCAGAGCGCGUCCUUGGUAAGGACGAGGUCGCGAGUGCAAUUCUCGCCGGGAGCU
rnacentral:tRNA from 1 species